UGGGGAAUAUUGCACAAUGGGCGCAAGCCUGAUGCAGCAACGCCGCGUGAACGAUGAAGGUCUUCGGAUCGUAAAGUUCUGUUGCAGGGGAAGAUAAUGACGGUACCCUGUGAGGAAGCCCCGGCUAACUACGUGCCAGCAGCCGCGGUAAUACGUAGGGGGCUAGCGUUGUCCGGAAUCACUGGGCGUAAAGGGUUCGCAGGCGGAAAUGCAAGUCAGGUGUAAAAGGCAGUAGCUUAACUACUGUAAGCAUUUGAAACUGCAUAUCUUGAGAAGAGUAGAGGUAAGUGGAAUUUUUAGUGUAGCGGUGAAAUGCGUAGAUAUUAAAAAGAAUACCGGUGGCGAAGGCGACUUACUGGGCUCAUUCUGACGCUGAGGAACGAAAGCGUGGGUAGCAAACAGG
rnacentral:rRNA from 1 species